UCGGGGCUCCGGGCCUCCCGGGCCGCGCAGGGGCCGGGACACCGGCCCAGCGGGCACCGGGGAGAGCGGAGAUGGAGGACUUUGGGCUGAGAGAACGCUGACGGAACAGACCGAGGCCUGCCCGGAUAAAGAGCCGAGCCGGUGACCGUAUACGUUGAAGCUUAUACCAAGGAAAGAACAGCCUAAAGCAGAGCAGCUUCGAAGUUUAACUUUUACAAGAAGCUAAGCAAGUUCCUCUCGUUUCAGAGAAUUUAUCUUUGCUGUCGUUUCCUUGCCAGCUCCCUGGGCACGAAGAGAAGAGGAACAGGGUUCAUGGCUCCCAACAACAAAGGAACUGGGUUUCUCAUAGAAAUUGGUUCAGAGGAAGGCAGUUUUCUAGUGAAAUCUUUAUGAAAGCUCUUGGCCUAUGGAUCUUGAAACUAAGGCCUAGAAAACAACUCUGUCACAGAAAUAAAUGUGAUUUACAUUCUUCUAAUUAUUGCCACUAAAGGACUGCAUUGUACCUUUUAAAAUACUAAUCUAAUCAAACUUUGAUAUGAGUAAAUAUAACGGUGUUACAGGAAAUAGAGGGACUAUUGAUAGAAAACGCCUUUUUUUUUUAUACUAAGCAAUUGUUGAAUUCAGCACUUGACUCAUUAGCUCAUGCUUAUAGAUUUACGACGUUGUUAGAGAAAGGAGGUUUGCAAAGCGGGGUGGUGUCGUGCAGCCUGCCUCUUGAGACUGGGCCCAUCUUACCUGCUGAACCAGGACCAGAAUUUUUUUGUUAGUGAGUUCGCCCUGGCCAAAAGUAUUGCAGGAACUGUUAAAAGUAAAGAUGAGUUGCAGUGUCCAAUAUUUCCUGCAAUUGAUUUAACUUCCUAGUACAGAUGUAGCCUAGAAGUUCACCUGAAGGUGAGCUGAGUCAUUCUCUAAGCUCGAGUACAGUAGUUAGAUCUGUGUUUUCUAUAACAGGAGCUACACCACCACAUAUCUGUGCUGGAAUUUAUUUGUGGGCACCAAAAUGAAGGUUUUUUUAAUCUGGACAUAGCCCUCACUCAGCCUGUCACUAUGAAGAUACAAUUAUUUUUUGUCCUAUGGGCAACAGAGCAUACAGGGAAAGAUUAAAUAUCUGUAAUUGAUAUUAACAUAUCCCAAGUUACAGAGUAAUUGUUUUACUCAGUUAUUCAUAAAAAUGUAAGCCUCCAGCAGUUCCAAGAAUUAUCUGUGAAAUAAAAAGCUCUUUUAGAAAAAGUUAUACCAAAUGCCAUUUUUCUAUUCUGUUAGAACAUCAAAUAUUGAAGAUAAAGUGUUUUACUUUCACUCUGUAGCAGCUAUUUUGCAUCUAUUGUAAAAGAAAGAAACUGUGACCCUUUGGCAGCUUAAAAAAAAACAAUCAAAGAUUAUGUGAAAAAAAUCUCCUUUUCAUCAUUGCGGUGCUUCUGAGGUAUCAAAUAAUAAAGAAAUAAUAUCACCCCAAAUGAGUUCAAAAACAUGCAUUAAAAAAAUCUGUGCUUUAAGGAACUGUGAAAAUUAAAUAUUAAAGAACAGCUCUUGACACUGGAAGCUCUUUGAAACAUGUUAAGCCACACUGGAAGUCAUAGCAGGAAGCCACAUUAUUUCUUGACACAUGGUACAUUAUCUCAUUUGAUUCCAUGAAUAUUCAUUAGAAUUUACAAUCUUCUAUUAUUUAGCUCACUGCAUUAAACAUCUGCUUUCUUCCCCACAAGACCUGAGGGGGAAACAAGAUCACCUUCCAUUUAAGUUGAUUAAAAUCAUGGAAAGAUUAUAUAUAUAUACACACUAUUGUAUUAACUGAAACAAACGAUCAAAUACCAAAGGGUGAUGGUAAAUGAAAGCCCUACAGUUGCUAUUUGUUCUAAGGGGAUGAGUUCCCAAACUACAUUUUUAAGAAAAGCGCAUAGACCAACAUUACUGUAUCUGUAUAUGAUGCUGUGUUACGGCAAAGUGAGAUACCCAUUUGCAUUAUAAUGCAAUGAUCUUACAUCGAAGGAAAUAAAAUGCCAAAAUCUGUCAACCCUGCUUGGCUCAUGGAGCUCUGGCAAUCUUGUUGAACGAGGCCGCAGAAGAGGUUGCUGUGUUCUGGGAACAACAGCUCCAGCAACUGAUAAAUGACAGACCAAGCAUAUAAUUAGGUCCUCUUCAAACUUACCCAGUUUUAUCAUGAUGCACGGCAAACAGCACUUGGGAUGACUUCAGAGGUUUGCUAUUCAGAGAAUUUCCUAAUGACCUAUCAUUUGUGUGCAUACUUUCCUGACUAGCUAAGGAUCAGUAUGCCUGAGGGGAGAAAAAAAAUGAUAGGAGCCGUGGCUCAAGGAGAAAGCUUUUGGCCUGAAGCUGUGGUAACAGUUUUAUUUUGAAAGUCAUCCAUGUAAAUGCAAAAAAAAAAAAAAAAAUGACACGCUGCCUGAUUAUGCCUGCACACUCAACUAGAGGCAAGGAGUCCUCCAGGUACAUAGAGAAUAAUAAACGACCUUUCAUACUGUUUGUGAAAGGAGCAAAAAGAGCCAUGUCUCAAUCCAUGUACAUUUUUUAAUAAUAACAUGAGGCUUUAUGCCAAUACUCUGAUAAUUUUACAUAUGGCGUCUAUUUAAAACAUGGAGAACUCAAGUUCCCACUCCUAGAAGAUACUGAUGCAUUUUUUCUAUAGCAAUGUCCUCAAAUUACCAUCAAAAUUUCUCACUGAAAAUGAAAGAAAUGGGAUUAACUAACAAAAGCAUGCCUCUGUAGUAUUAAUUGCUAUUGCAAAAGUGUUUAUGAGGUGAAGAGAGCAGGGAUGCAGCAAUACCUGGGGAAGAGAAUAGAUUUCAAUUCCUUUACAUGACAGGGAUAGAGGAUGGUGUCCAGCAUAACACAAACCAAUAAUACAGGGGCUGUGGAGCACAGCACAAACACUUGGUGGAGUCACCUUGGGAUUGCACCAAACCAACCCUGAACGUAGGACGUGAAGAACGUAGGACCUGUGCUCCACAGUGCCUGCAACAGGGCCCAGUCUAAAUACCUCCCCCAUUAGGAGGAACCCAGUUUGCAACACCCAUCUGGAUCAGUCAGGCACGGGUUAGCUCAGUGGCUUGAAGCAAAGCAGAACCACCAUCUACCGCACUGCCAGACCGGUGCCAGGCCCUGCGCAGAUGCAUGGUCAGCAGUUCCAUAUGGGACGCAAGAAGCUGAGCUUCACAGAUCAAAGCUGGCCUGAGCAGGAAUACCAGCCUUCACUGGAAACAAUUCUCACGUCCACGGGGACAGUAAAUUGGCUCUGCUGGAAGAAGUAGAGGUGUACCAACUCUGAAGCUACAGAACUGGGGCUGAAGAAGUCAUGACCUUCCUCAGAGUUAGGACGCAAACCAGAAAGAUAAAAAUCACAGUGCCAUCUCUUCCUUUCAGUCAUCUUCCCACAGAAGUUUGCAAUGCCUCUUUGGAAGGCUAAACAGAUCUGGGGUCUGUUUGCAAGGCAAAGUUGAUUAUCGUCUUCACCCCACAUCUUCUCUUGAAGAGCUAUUUCUGGUAGCUUUACACAGGCAUUGUGCAGUAUUUGUGGUCUUUGAGUGACAGGACUGCUAUUCCAUCUCAUUUCUGCUGCCUGACUACUAAAGAAAUUCCUUAUGCCCUCUCUCCCCUUUCCUUAUUUAAAUAGCUCUGGAGGAAUGAGGACGAUGGCUGGGAGGCAGACAUACUCCUGACCUUAAUGCCUGCACAGCACUUUGAGUAAGAGAGAAGUUAGUACUAAAUACAGUAAUCAUCAUGCGUCUGCUACUUAGACAAUAAAAUGAUUCUAACACCACCACCUAAUCCUCUCUACACUCACAUCACUGUUCAACGAUAUUUUCUCUCUUCCAGCAAUCAGCAUUUCAGCUAGCAAUUCUGAGUCUGUAGAAAGAAGAAAGCUUAAUUGGGUCUUGAACUAGAUUGAGAAACAGGCUAUGAACAUAAAAUUAAAAAAAAAAAAAAAAGAAUCACCAAAUACAAACAGCCAGAUAACUUGGCACAGAUAGCACAAGUAGGCUAAGCAGCUCGAAACCAGAAGCAAAAUAAGUAAACUGGGAGCAAAAGAAGAGAAAAGGGAUCAUCAUCCAACAGAAAGCAAAGGACUUGACUCAGUUCAGGAUGUAAGACUGUAAACAUCACUUCAAAACCAAAACACACUAUCAUCCUGAGCUGUCUCUUGUAGCAGUUUUAACACCUUAAACUAAAGAUAUGCAAUAUCUUUUUUUCUUUCGUUGAGGGACUGAUCUGUUGUUUCAGCAUGGCCAAAUUAAAAAAAUGUACUUUAUGUAAACAUUAAUCCCAGUUUACAGAGUAUUUUGUGGAUUUUUCUUUUAUCUCGUGGUGGAAAUUUGCGAUUCGUUACUGCAAAUUCCACUUUCCAGGCUAUCUCUGAUGAUGAAAGAGUCUUCUAACAGCAACCUCUACUAACUAGCACAGCAGAGUCCAUCAGUUCUGUCUUACCCUUCACAGCAGUAGUGGCAUCCACCUGUGAUUCUUUACUAAAUGUUUCUAAGUGAUUCAACUAACUACUCUUUCUUUCCUUAUAUGUGCCUGAUACUUGUCUUUCCUUUUUUUUUAUCUCAGUAUGUGUGGGAAGAGCGAGUUCCACACUGGACAAUGGAGAAAAUAAAACAUUUAAAUCUAAUUCUUCCCUUCACACUCUGCAGCCUUUCAGCUACAUGCGUCCCACAAGAGGUAGUUUUACCAAGAUACAACCCUUACCAGCAACUUAUUUUGUAUCUUUGCUAUCUAAAUGCCACCGCAGCUUUGUAUAGUUUCUCUUCAAAACAGAUGACGCAACCUAGGGGCACUCUGUUGAUGUGAUACCUGCUUGAAAGACCUUUGAUCAUGGUUUCAGACACCAGAGACAGAGGAGUAACAUCUAAGAUGCAUCUUGUCCCUUCAAAGUUCCAGUCAACUACUGCCCCUGCCAAAUGGUAUGCAACACCAAACUUAUUACUUAAAAAAAUAAAAAGUCCUUAGGGAAGAAUUCAAGACCACAUGAGAGCAUUUUGGUACUGGAAGAUCUUUAGGUGUUUCAUCCUCUGAUAAACAGGAGAAAGCCAAGUACCGCCAAGGCAGAGCUCCCAGCACCCACCCCCCUCUUUACAAGAGGAUUCAUUCCAUUAAACAUACAUGAAAUAUGCAUGACCAUUCACACACAGGGUAAGGAAAAACACGUGUCCACUGAAAUUUGUGAGAAAUGGUUCAUACUGCCAUCUGCCCCUCUGAAAGAGAACUGAUGUGAAGGUAACCAGAGAUUUCCGGUUACCAGUUUCAAAAUACCUGCUCUCUGCUCCAGGAACAACAAGCAGAGAGGAUACAAGAUAUAUUCUGGGACAGCUGUCAAAUCCAAAAUAUUAUAUAAAGACCUUAAC